CCGGUAAACGGCGGCCGUAACUAUAACGGUCCUAAGGUAGCGAAAUUCCUUGUCGGGUAAGUUCCGACCUGCACGAAUGGCGUAAUGAUGGCCAGGCUGUCUCCACCCGAGACUCAGUGAAAUUGAACUCGCUGUGAAGAUGCAGUGUACCCGCGGCAAGACGGAAAGACCCCGUGAACCUUUACUAUAGCUUGACACUGAACAUUGAGCCUUGAUGUGUAGGAUAGGUGGGAGGCUUUGAAGUGUGGACGCCAGUCUGCAUGGAGCCGGCCUUGAAAUACCACCCUUUAAUGUUUGAUGUUCUAACGUUGGCCCCUGAUCGGGGUUGCGGACAGUGUCUGGUGGGUAGUUUGACUGGGGCGGUCUCCUCCUAAAGAGUAACGGAGGAGCACGAAGGUUGGCUAAUCCUGGUCGGACAUCAGGAGGUUAGUGCAAUGGCAUAAGCCAGCUUGACUGCGAGCGUGACGGCGCGAGCAGGUGCGAAAGCAGGUCAUAGUGAUCCGGUGGUUCUGAAUGGAAGGGCCAUCGCUCAACGGAUAAAAGGUACUCCGGGGAUAACAGGCUGAUACCGCCCAAGAGUUCAUAUCGACGGCGGUGUUUGGCACCUCGAUGUCGGCUCAUCACAUCCUGGGGCUGAAGUAGGUCCCAAGGGUAUGGCUGUUCGCCAUUUAAAGUGGUACGCGAGCUGGGUUUAGAACGUCGUGAGACAGUUCGGUCCCUAUCUGCCGUGGGCGCUGGAGAACUGAGGGGGGCUGCUCCUAGUACGAGAGGACCGGAGUGGACGCAUCACUGGUGUUCGGGUUGUCAUGCCAAUGGCACUGCCCGGUAGCUAAAUGCGGAAGAGAUAAGUGCUGAAAGCAUCUAAGCACGAAACUUGCCCCGAGAUGAGUUCUCCCUGACUCCUUGAGAGUCCUGAAGGAACGUUGAAGACGACGACGUUGAUAGGCCGGGUGUGUAAGCGCAGCGAUGCGUUGAGCUAACCGGUACUAAUGAACCGUGAGGCUUAACCUU
rnacentral:rRNA from 1 species